rnacentral:rRNA from 1 species
CAACGGGAGGAGCGUGCGGUUUAAUUGGAUUCAACACCGGAAAACUCACCAAGGGCGACUGUUACAUGAAAGCCAGGCUGAUGACCUUGCUUGAUUUUCAGAGAGGUGGUGCAUGGCCGUCGUCAGUUCGUACCGUAAGGCGUUCUCUUAAGUGAGAUAACGAACGAGACCCUCACCGAUAAUUGCUACUCUUUCCUCCGGGAGGGAGGCACAUUAUAGGGACCGCUGGCGCUAAGCCAGAGGAAGGAGAGGUCAACGGUAGGUCAGUAUGCCCCGAAUCUCUUGGGCUACACGCGCGCUACAAAGGGCGGGACAAUGGGUUCCGACGCCGAAAGGCGGAGGCAAUCCCGAAACCCGUCCGUAGUUCGGAUUGAGGGUUGUAACUCACCCUCAUGAAGCUGGAUUCCGUAGUAAUCGCGAAUCAACAACUCGCGGUGAAUAUGCCCCUGCUCCUUGCACACACCGCCCGUCAAACCAUCCGAGUUGGGUUCCAGUGAGGCCGCCCCUGAUUAGGGUGUUCGAACUGGGAUUCAGCAAGGAAGGUUAAGUCGUAACAAGGUAGCCGU